AACGAACGCUGGCGGCAGGCUUAACACAUGCAAGUCGAACGCAUCCUUCGGGGGGAGUGGCAGCCGGGUGAGUAACGCGUGGGAACGUGCCCUUCAGUUCGGGAUAACCCAGGGAAACUUGGGCUAAUACCGGAUACGUGCGAGAGCAGAAAGAUUUAUCGCUGAAGGAUCGGCCCGCGUCUGAUUAGCUAGUUGGUGGGGUAAUGGCCCACCAAGGCGACGAUCAGUAGCUGGUCGGAGAGGAUGAUCAGCCACAUUGGGACUGAGACACGGCCCAAACUCCUACGGGAGGCAGCAGUGGGGAAUAUUGGACAAUGGGCGCAAGCCUGAUCCAGCCAUGCCGCGUGAGUGAUGAAGGCCUUAGGGUUGUAAAGCUCUUUCGUCCGGGACGAUAAUGACGGUACCGGAAGAAGAAGCCCCGGCUAACUUCGUGCCAGCCGCCGCGGUAA
rnacentral:rRNA from 1 species